GACGCUUUAGCUUAGUGGCCAGAGCGAUCACUCUGACUAAGGGACAGACCCGGCUUCGAGUCUCGGAAGCGUCU
rnacentral:tRNA from 2 species